rnacentral:rRNA from 1 species
AUUGAACGCUGGCGGCAGGCCUAACACAUGCAAGUCGCGCGAGCGGCGGACGGGUGCGUAAUGUCUGGGGAUCUGCCUGAUUGAUGGGGAUAACUACUGGAAACGGUAGCUACUACCGCAUACCUUCCGCUCACCCCAUAUGGGAUUAGCUAGUCGGUGGGGUAAAGGCUCACCUAGGCGACGAUCCCUAUCUGGUCUGAGAGGAUGAUCAGCCAAACUGGGACUGAGACAAGGCCCAGACUCCAACGGGAGGCAGAAGUGGGGAAUAGUGCACAAGGGGCGAAAGCCUGAUGCAGCCAUGCCGCGGGUAUGAAGAAGGCCGUGGGGGUGUAAAGUACGUGCAGUGGGGAGGCGUUACCGACAGAAGAAGCACCGGCUAACUCCGUGCCAGCAGCCGCGGUAAUUC